rnacentral:rRNA from 1 species
UCANCCAUAGUUCGCUUUGGAAACUGUCAAACUUGAGUGCAGAAGGGGAGAGUGGAAUUCCAUGUGUAGCGGUGAAAUGCGUAGAUAUAUGGAGGAACACCGGUGGCGAAUGCGGCUCUCUGGUCUGUAACUGACGCUGAGGCUCGAAAGCGUGGGGAGCGAACAGGAUUAGAUACCCUGGUAGUCCACGCCGUAAACGAUGAGUGCUAGGUGUUGGGUCCUUUCCGGGAUUCAGUGCCGCAGCUAACGCAUUAAGCACUCCGCCUGGGGAGUACGACCGCAAGGUUGAAACUCAAAGGAAUUGACGGGGGCCCGCACAAGCGGUGGAGCAUGUGGUUUAAUUCGAAGCAACGCGAAGAACCUUACCAGGUCUUGACGUCCCGAUGCUAUUUCUAGAGAUAGGAAGUUACUUCGGUACAUCGGUGACAGGUGGUGCAUGGUUGUCGUCAGCUCGUGUCGUGAGAUGUUGGNUUNNNNNNCGCAACGAGCGCAACCCCUAUUGUUAGUUGCCAUCAUUCAGUUGGGCACUCUAGCGAGACUGCCGGUAAUAAACCGGAGGAAGGUGGGGAUGACGUCAAAUCAUCAUGCCCCUUAUGACCUGGGCUACACACGUGCUACAAUGGUUGGUACAACGAGUUGCGAGUCGGUGACGGCGAGCUAAUCUCUUAAAGCCAAUCUCAGUUCGGAUUGUAAGCUGCAACUCGCCUACAUGAAGUCGGAAUCGCUAGUAAUCGCGGAUCAGCACGCCGCGGUGAAUACGUUCCCAGGCCUUNU